CUUCCCAUUUGUUUGCUGCUGUAGUGUCUCAGUGAUAUGAGCAGUUAUACACAUGGGAUAAAUAAUAUUGUAAAUCGAGAUGUAGUAACCAUUUCAUCUCUUCUGCAUGGUGCAGACAUUG